rnacentral:rRNA from 1 species
UACGAAGGGGGCUAGCGUUGCUCGGAAUCACUGGGCGUAAAGGGUGCGUAGGCGGGUCUUUAAGUCAGAGGUGAAAUCCUGGAGCUCAACUCCAGAACUGCCUUUGAUACUGAGGAUCUUGAGUUCGGGAGAGGUGAGUGGAACUGCGAGUGUAGAAGUGAAAUUCGUAGAUAUUCGCAAGAACACCAGUGGCGAAGGCGGCUCACUGGCCCGAUACUGACGCUGAGGCACGAAAGCGUGGGGAGCAAACAGG